UACGGGGGGGGUAAGCGUUGUUCGGAAUUACUGGGCGUAAAGGGCUCGUAGGCGGCCAACUAAGUCAUACGUGAAAUCCCUCAGCUUAACUGGGGAACUGCGUGUGAUACUGGAUGGCUUGGAUUUGGGAGAGGGAUGCGGAAUUCCAGGUGUAGCGGUGAAUUGCGUAGAUAUCUGGAGGAACACCGGUGGCGAAGGCGGCAUCCUGGACCAAUAUUGACGCUGAGGAGCGAAAGCCAGGGGAGCAAACGGG
rnacentral:rRNA from 1 species